rnacentral:ribozyme from 1 species
CUUAUGCUUCUUCUCCUUCUUCUCUUUCUUUUCCUUCUUCUCCUUCAUCACUACCCCCUCCUCUUCAUCAGCAUCACAAGCAUGAGGAAGAUAUCUCUGAGGAGGGUAGCGGCAGCAAUAAGAAGAGUAGUAAGAAGAAGCAU